ACAUGACUAAUAACUGUGUCCUGG
rnacentral:siRNA from 1 species